AUCACGAGUACCGGUUCACUUAAGGCUCUGGCUGACCGGUCGGCAACCCUUCCGCGGUGAUGGGGUGCCCCAGAUGACGAUCCGGCCGCAGGCAGACCGCCUGAGGGCAAGCACGGC
rnacentral:ncRNA from 1 species